GACGUACGCUGGCGGCGUGCUUAACACAUGCAAGUCGAACGGAAAGGCCCUGCUUUUGUGGGGUGCUCGAGUGGCGAACGGGUGAGUAACACGUGAGUAACCUGCCCUUGACUUUGGGAUAACUUCAGGAAACUGGGGCUAAUACCGGAUAGGAGCUCCUGCUGCAUGGUGGGGGUUGGAAAGUUUCGGCGGUUGGGGAUGGACUCGCGGCUUAUCAGCUUGUUGGUGGGGUAGUGGCUUACCAAGGCUUUGACGGGUAGCCGGCCUGAGAGGGUGACCGGCCACAUUGGGACUGAGAUACGGCCCAGACUCCUACGGGAGGCAGCAGUGGGGAAUAUUGCACAAUGGGCGGAAGCCUGAUGCAGCAACGCCGCGUGCGGGAUGACGGCCUUCGGGUUGUAAACCGCUUUCGCCUGUGACGAAGCGUGAGUGACGGUAAUGGGCAAAGAAGCACCGGCUAACUACGUG
rnacentral:rRNA from 1 species